GAAAGACAUAGACGGCCACAGGUAUGACUUUGUUACAAUAAGAAAUGGAGAGGAGAUCAUUUCCAAAGAUGGCCAGCUCGACGAAAUCGCCGUACCACUGGAAAAACAGGGCGUUUGGGUUGUGAUAAAACAAGAUAACCAGGACUUAUGUUAUGUCGUCGAUAUUUCAAAGGAGGAUCCAAAUAAUAGACCAUCGGACGGUCAGGUCAAGCUGCUGCAUUACGAAGUUAAACCUGUGCAAGACGUCCACCCCGACAUCAAACGAACUUGCGAGGAAUAUGGCGGAGAGGGAAGGACCAUCGUAGAAGUGGGACCAAAAGAAGACAGCAAA